AUUGAACGCUGGCGGCAGGCCUAACACAUGCAAGUCGAGCGGAUGACGGGAGCUUGCUCCUUGAUUCAGCGGCGGACGGGUGAGUAAUGCCUAGGAAUCUGCCUGGUAGUGGGGGACAACGUUUCGAAAGGAACGCUAAUACCGCAUACGUCCUACGGGAGAAAGCAGGGGACCUUCGGGCCUUGCGCUAUCAGAUGAGCCUAGGUCGGAUUAGCUAGUUGGUGAGGUAAUGGCUCACCAAGGCGACGAUCCGUAACUGGUCUGAGAGGAUGAUCAGUCACACUGGAACUGAGACACGGUCCAGACUCCUCCGGGAGGCAGCAGUGGGGAAUAUUGGACAAUGGGCGAAAGUCUGAUCCAGCAAUGCCGCGUGUGUGAAGAAGGUCUUCGGAUUGUAAAGCACUUUAAGUUGGGAGGAAGGGCAGUAAGUUAAUACCUUGCUGUUUUGACGUUACCGACAGAAUAAGCACCGGCUAACUCUGUGCCAGCCGCCGCGGUAAAAC
rnacentral:rRNA from 1 species